UACAGAGGUGACAAACGUUGUCCGGAAUUAUUGGGCGUAAAGGGCGCGUAGGUGGUUGAGUAAGUCAGGUGUGAAAGCUCUGGGCUUAACCCAGGAAUUGCAUCUGAUACUGCUCGGCUUGAGUACGGUAGAGGAGGGUGGAAUUCCCAGUGUAGCGGUGAAAUGCGUAGAUAUUGGGAGGAACACCGGUGGCGAAGGCGGCCCUCUGGACCGAAACUGAUACUGAAGCGCGAAAGCUAGGGGAGCAAACGGG
rnacentral:rRNA from 1 species